AAGCCUUCUGGCAAUCCGCGAUAAGUUCUUUGUAGAACUUUAAGAAAAGCAUUUUCCAUUAAAAGAAUGCUUUCAUGUGAUAAUGCCGGGGAAGGUUUUCCGGUUUAUCCCGGAGGGCUUGUAGCUCAGUUGGUUAGAGCGCGCGCUUGAUAAGCGUGAGGUCGGAGGUUCAAGUCCUCCCAGGCCCACCAAUUAUCCAUCCAUAGAAAAGCGCUUAGAAAGUUUGACUGUUAACAGGUCAACGUUGUUUUGUAGGACGCCAAUAUUGUCUUGAAAAAGAGCUUUCUUGUAAAGUUUGAGAAAACUUGUUUAUCGCUUUUUGUAAGAUGUGGUGUUUGUCUGCUUUUAAAGCGAUCGAAACUGAAAGUGUUUCAAAGAUAAGAGUCUUGGAACAGAAGAGUCUUGGAAUAGAAAAGAAUAUAAAGUCUAGGUGGUAUUACAUAGUCUAGAGUUAAAUUGUUCAUGAUUGGAACAUUUCAUAUUGAAAUGCUGCGAUAUAAAGGUUUCGAAUAAAUUAUUCCGUUUUGGGGCCGUAGCUCAGCUGGGAGAGCACCUGCUUUGCAAGCAGGGGGUCGUCGGUUCGAUCCCGUCCGGCUCCACCAUUUGGUCAUCAUCAUUG
rnacentral:tRNA from 1 species